rnacentral:rRNA from 1 species
UACGGAAGGUGCGAGCGUUAAUCGGAAUCACUGGGCGUAAAGCGCUCGUAGGUUGCUUUGUAAGUCAGGUGUGAAAUCCCACGGCUCAACCGUGGAAUUGCACUUGAUACUGCAUUGCUUGAGUAUUGGAGAGGCAAGUGGAAUUCCUAGUGUAGCGGUGAAAUGCGUAGAUAUUAGGAGGAACACCGGUGGCGAAGGCGACUACCUGGACCGAUACUGACACUGAGGAGCGAAAGCGUGGGGAGCAAAC